AUGCAGGCUAGGCCGGUGCAUCAGUCCUGCAUUGUCACCGCAAACGGACUUCAUGGCGGGGCCGAAGCCCUAGGAGAGGCAUAUCUACAAGGACCAGUCCCUUUCCGGACAAUGAUAUUCUGUCCUUUGGGACUAGUGCUUCAGCGAAUCAGGUCAGGUCAGGAAUGAAAUAAGUGAAGAACUUACAUUAGGCAGCCUUAAGCUUUAGCAUUGGUGCUCAGAGGGUAGCGGAAUUAAGGAAGGAGAGGGAUUAAAGCUGGAACUCUACGAUGUGUCCAUUUUAGGGCCUGCCUGCUU
rnacentral:SRP_RNA from 1 species